rnacentral:misc_RNA from 1 species
GAUGAAGAACGUAGCGAAAUGCGAUAAGUAAUGUGAAUUGCAGAAUUCAGUGAAUCAUCGAAUCUUUGAACGCACAUUGCGCCCGCCAGCAUUCUGGCGGGCAUGCCUGUUCGAGCGUCAUUUCAACCCUCGCAGCCCAUCUGGGCAGCGGUGUUGGGGACCGGCACCACCGGCGAAGCCCUUAGGGGCCCAGCCGGCGCCGCCCCCGAAAUACAGUGGCGGUCUCGCUGCAGCCUCCCUUGCGUAGUAGCACACCUCGCACCGGAGCGCAGCGCGGCCACGCCGUAAAACCCCGACUUUCUGAGUUUGACCUCGAAUCAGGUAGGAAUACCCGCUGAACUUAAGCAUAUCAAUAAGCGGAGGA